UACAGAGGUCUCAAGCGUUGUCCGGAUUUAUUGGGCGUAAAGAGCUCGUAGGCGGCUUGUUGCGUCGACCGUGAAAACCCGUGGCUCAACUGCGGGCUUGCGGUCGAUACGGGCGGGCUAGAGUUCGGUAGGGGAGACUGGAAUUCCUGGUGUGAGCGGUGAAAUGCGCAGAUAUCAGGAGGAACACCAAUGGCGAAGGCAGCUCGCUGGAACGGUACUGACGCUGAGGCGCGAAAGCGUGGGGAGCGAACAGG
rnacentral:rRNA from 1 species